GAACAACACGUGCUCCCACAUCGUUAUCAACAUCAUUCAGAUUUCAUUUUCUCACCUCUCAACUUGGCUUCUGACCUCAUAACCAGUUGCGCUCUCGUUGAGGCAACAUAGCUGAGAGGUUAACAAGCAAUCUGAAAAGGAAGCAUAGCUGCUAUCUAUACCUGUGCAUCUACAGUCGAGGAGAUACCUGUCAUUCACCUGUCAUCAACCAACACAUAAUCUAACAUCUACAUCAUGCCGAGGGAAUGAAGACUACAUGGCGUGAAUUCCGCCGCGGUCCGCCAUUGCAUAACCAUCGAGGAUCCCAAGGAAAUUAGCAUCGAGAACGUGCUCGAGAGAUCGAAACGGCGCGUUUUCGACAUAAUUAGGGAGCACGCGGCACGGCAUGAUGCGAAUGUGAAAUGGUUCAUCGUCUUGAAUGUUUUAUUGUAUAAAUUAGUGGUGAUGGAUGAUGAGGUUAGCGAGACUGUCUCAUCUCUAAUAAAUCUUCAUAGUUACUCCAACAUAGCGCUAAACGUGCUUGAGAAUUAUGAAGAUUUUAAUGAUCAUUUCAUGUUGGCCAUAAGAAAAAUCCAGUCAUCCUUUGACAACUUUGUUCGACAUGGCAGCAGUUGGGUUUUGAAGAAAAUUGAGUCACUGGAUGUGAACGUGAUUAAAUUUAAUCCAAUAUUCACAUCCAGUUUCAUCCAAACACCGCAGUUUCUCAAAAACAAAAAUUGUAUUAUAAAUGUCGAA